UACGUAGGGUGCGAGCGUUGUCCGGAAUUAUUGGGCGUAAAGGGCUCGUAGGCGGUUUGUCGCGUCGGGAGUGAAAACCCAGGGCUUAACCCUGGGCUGGCUUCCGAUACGGGCAGACUAGAGGUAUGCAGGGGAGAACGGAAUUCCUGGUGUAGCGGUGAAAUGCGCAGAUAUCAGGAGGAACACCGGUGGCGAAGGCGGUUCUCUGGGCGUUACCUGACGCUGAGGAGCGAAAGUGUGGGGAGCGAACAGG
rnacentral:rRNA from 1 species